ACUGCCGGUGACAAACCGGAGGAAGGUGGGGAUGACGUCAAAUCAUCAUGCCCCUUAUGAUUUGGGCUACACACGUGCUACAAUGGACAAUACAAAGGGCAGCGAAACCGCGAGGUCAAGCAAAUCCCAUAAAGUUGUUCUCAGUUCGGAUUGUAGUCUGCAACUCGACUACAUGAAGCUGGAAUCGCUAGUAAUCGUAGAUCAGCAUGCUACGGUGAAUA
rnacentral:rRNA from 1 species